rnacentral:rRNA from 1 species
AUACGUAGGGUGCAAGCGUUAAUCGGAAUUACUGGGCGUAAAGCGUGCGCAGGCGGUUUUGUAAGACAGAGGUGAAAUCCCCGGGCUCAACCUGGGAACUGCCUUUGUGACUGCAAGGCUAGAGUACGGCAGAGGGGGAUGGAAUUCCGCGUGUAGCAGUGAAAUGCGUAGAUAUGCGGAGGAAAACCGAUGGCGAAGGCAAUCCCCUGGGCCUGUACUGACGCUCAUGCACGAAAGCGUGGGGAGUAAACAGGAUUAGAUACCCUGGUUGUCCACGCCCUAAACGAUGUCAACUGGUUGUUGGGGAUUUAUUUUCUCAGUAACGAAGCUAACGCGUGAAGUUGACCGCCUGGGGAGUACGGCCGCAAGGUUAAAACUCAAAUGAAUUGACGGGG